rnacentral:rRNA from 1 species
GACGAACGCUGGCGGCGUGCCUAACACAUGCAAGUCGAGCGAGAAGUCAGUAACGGAUUUCUUCGGAAUGAAGUAGCUGAUGGAAAGCGGCGGACGGGUGAGUAACGCGUGAGUAACCUGCCUUCAAGAGGGGGACAACAGUUGGAAACGACUGCUAAUACCGCAUAACAUUGCGAUAUCGCAUGAUAAUGCAAUCAAAGAUUUAUCGCUUGAAGAUGGACUCGCGUCCGAUUAGAUAGUUGGUGAGGUAACGGCUCACCAAGUCGACGAUCGGUAGCCGAACUGAGAGGUUGAUCGGCCACAUUGGGACUGAGACACGGCCCAGACUCCUACGGGAGGCAGCAGUGGGGGAUAUUGCACAAUGGGGGAAACCCUGAUGCAGCGACGCCGCGUGAGUGAAGAAGUAUUUCGGUAUGUAAAGCUCUAUCAGCAGGGAANAAAUGACGGUACCUGACUAAGAAGCCCCGG